GACGAACGCUGGCGGCGUGCUUAACACAUGCAAGUCGAGCGAGACCCCGCUUUCGGGUGGGUGUUCUAGCGGCGAACGGGUGAGUAACACGUGGGCAACCUGCCCUCAGCUCUGGGAUAACUCCAAGAAAUUGGGGCUAAUACCGGAUAUGACCGCUGACCGCAUGGUCUGGUGGUGGAAAGAUUUAUCGGCUGGGGAUGGGCCCGCGGCCUAUCAGCUUGUUGGGGGGGUAGUGGCCUACCAAGGCGACGACGGGUAGCCGGCCUGAGAGGGUGACCGGCCACACUGGGACUGAGACACGGCCCUGACUCCUACGGGAGGCAGCAGUGGGGAAUAUUGCGCAAUGGGCGAAAGCCUGACGCAGCGACGCCGCGUGGGGGAUGACGGCCUUCGGGUUGUAAACCUCUUUCAGCAGGGACGAAGCGAAAGUGACGGUACCUGCAGAAGAAGCACCGGCCAACUACGUGCCAGCCGCCGCCGUAA
rnacentral:rRNA from 1 species